rnacentral:rRNA from 1 species
CCUACGGGAGGCAGCAGUGAGGAAUAUUGGUCAAUGGACGAGAGUCUGAACCAGCCAAGUAGCGUGAAGGAUGACUGCCCUAUGGGUUGUAAACUUCUUUUAUAUGGGAAUAAAAUGUUCCACGUGUGGGAUUUUGUAUGUACCAUAUGAAUAAGGAUCGGCUAACUCCGUGCCAGCAGCCGCGGUAAUACGGAGGAUCCGAGCGUUAUCCGGAUUUAUUGGGUUUAAAGGGAGCGUAGGUGGAUUGUUAAGUCAGUUGUGAAAGUUUGCGGCUCAACCGUAAAAUUGCAGUUGAAACUGGCAGUCGUGAGUACAGUAGAGGUGAGCGGAAUUCGUGGUGUAGCGGUGAAAUGCUUAGAUAUCACGAAGAACUCCGAUUGCGAAGGCAGCUCACUGGACUGCAACUGACACUGAGGCUCGAAAGUGUGGGUAUCAAACAGGAUUAGAUACCCUAGUAGUC